GCGAACGCUGGCGGCAGGCCUAACACAUGCAAGUCGAACGAAGCCUUCGGGCUUAGUGGCGGACGGGUGAGUAACACAUGGGAACGUACCUUUUGGUUCGGAAUAACGCAGAGAAAUUUGCGCUAAUACCGGAUGAGCCCUUCGGGGGAAAGAUUUAUCGCCGAAAGAUCGGCCCGCGUUGGAUUCGGUAGUUGGUGUGGUAAAGGCGCACCAAGCCUACGAUCCAUAGCUGGUCUGAGAGGAUGAUCAGCCACACUGGGACUGAGACACGGCCCAGACUCCUACGGGAGGCAGCAGUGGGGAAUAUUGGACAAUGGGCGAAAGCCUGAUCCAGCAAUGCCGCGUGAGUGAUGAAGGCCUUAGGGUUGUAAAGCUCUUUUACCCGGGAUGAUAAUGACAGUACCGGGAGAAUAAGCUCCGGCUAACUUCGUGCCAGCAGCCGCGGUAAUAC
rnacentral:rRNA from 1 species